CGGACACGUCGGCGGCGCGGCGGCCGCGGCGACCGGAGCCGGAUGUGCCAAGAUGGCUGCUGCGGCUGCCGUGUCUGCGCUCGUUUCAACCGUCGGGUCGUCUUCCGCCGGUGGCUCCUGAGGGGCCGGCGCCGGGAGUCGCCGCGGGGCCGGGCGGGAGCCGGCGGGAGCCCCGGCCGCUCUGCGGCGCUCGGUUCCAAUUAAGGAAACCUUGAAUCCUGCUCCCUUCCUUCCGUGAGCAGCGCCUAACCCUGCAAGGGCUCAGCCAUGCAGCCGCCGCCCCAGGCUCUCCCUUCGGGCGUGGUCGGGCCGCCGCCUGCUGGGAGCCCGCAGAGCUCGCUGUGGUCUAGCAGCCCAUACAGGAGACAGGCCGGCAGUAACGCCCCAGUGGCCCCGAUACCUCGCCCGCCGCAGCCGGUGACGGAUCCCUUUGCUUUCAGUAGGCAGGCGCUCCAGAGUCCAUCGCUGGGCAGUUCGUCGAAAAGCAGCCUGCCCGCUUUGCAAGGCCCAGCCCAGCCGGCGUUUCUUCAGCGCACUGGCCUGCCUGUGCCUCCCACGAAUGUCGGGGGGAGCUCCCAGGGACCCUGCGAGCCUCUGCCAGGGCCUCUGUCACAGCCCAGGGCGGAUGCCGGCCCGUUUGCUGGUGUGUCGACUCCCUCAGCACCGCCUGGGCCCGAGAGGAACAGGAGUGCCGACGCCGCGCCCGGCCUGGAUCCAGAAGUUCAGGCACUGCCGUACCUUCCGCAGUACAUUCCAGGGGCGGCGCCCAGCAGUCCUCCUGGGGGCCGUCCCCAGGGCAGCCAGCCCCGGCCCGAUGCCCCCCUCAGUAGGCCGGGCCUGCAUGAUGGGGCCAGGGCCCUAGCUGCCUCCCCUCUUUUCCCUCAGCCGUGUCAGCAGAUGCCAGGGCAGUGGGGGCCAGGGCAGCAGGGGCCAGGGCAGUGGGGGCCAGGGCAGGGAGGCCCUCUGCCUGCAGGUCAGCAUUACCGGCCCUGCCCGGAAGGACCUGUUCAGAAUGCGGUGCCCCACACCUCCAGUGUUGCCCCCUUUCCUGGCCCACCCAGCCUGGGUCAGGGUCCUGGCCACGGGCAGCCCAGCCCCCUGGCGUCUCUACCGGGACCGUCGCCUGGUGACGGAAGAAACGACGCAACCUCGCUGCACGGUGGACGCCGUACAGCAAAUAGCUUUGAUCCCGAGGAUGCGUUCGGGCAGACUCCCGGAGCCGGGAAUGCUUGGGCGAGCCAGGCCUUCUGGUCCAGUCCAGGACGGAGAAAAGAAGAGCAGCUGCCAGACCUCGCGCUUGUUAAUCCUCUCGCUCAGGGAAGUAGCCCAGAAAGCCGUCUGCACUCGCCGCUGGGGGCCGGGCGUGGCUGGGCCCUGCCGGAAGCAGGCUCGGGAGCCCCCCCCAGGUUUCUCAGAGGCCGAGAGACAGAGAACGAAGAGAACCUCUCAUCCGCACCAGCAGGCUCUGCUGGUCAGUCCGACGUGGACGGCGUCUCCCCGGGCCCGGGCCACAUGGCAGCGGGAGGUGGUUACCAGGCCUUUCGAGGAGGCGCCCACAGCGAGCCCGCACCGCAGGGAGGAGACGCGAAGCCCUACUUUGCUCAGUCCACCAGCAUCCGCCACGAUGACCCGGCUCCUAAAGGUGCCGCUGCCACCGAAUUAUGGGGCGACACAGCGUGUGCGGGGACUCAGAGCGCGGGCAGCUCGCAGUAUGAGAAUGUGGAGAACCUGGAGUUUGUUCAGAACCAAGAGGUUCCGCCCAGUGAGCCCCCGAGCCUGGACCCUUCCUCCCUGAGUGAUCAGCUCCGGUACGGGCCCCCUCCCGGGCCGGCCGUCCCGAGGUUCAGUGCUGGGGGCCACGCUGGAGGCGGCGGCCCAAACCUCGAGGCCCUGGAUGCUGUGGCGCGUCCUGUGCGGUCUGACAGCGUGUCCUCCAGCUACAGCAGCAAGAGCCACCGGGGUCCUCCAGGGGUGGCCAGGCCCCUGGACGCGGGGGGCACCUUCAUUCAGCAGGAGGUCGGGAAACCUGAAGAUGAGGCGCCAGGGAGGUUUUUUAAGCAAAUCGAUUCCUCUCCUGUCGGAGGCGAGACAGAUGGGACCACGGUGAGCCAGAGCUACCGCAGCAGCCUGCCCCAGCCCUCGACCCCGAGCCCCCCGAAACCUACAGGAACGUUUCAGACGAGUGCAAAUAGUUCUUUUGAGCCAGUGAAAUCCCACCUGGUCGGAGUAAAGCCGGUCGAGGCAGAUCGUGCCAACGUGGUGGGUGAAGUGAGGGGGCCCCGCGCCCACCCGAAGCAGCACCGACUGGCCACUGCGGCGCCCGCCGCCUCCCCCGGCAACCUGGAGCAGCCGCCCGACAACCUGGAGACCCUCUUCCUGCAGCCGCCGGGCCACGCACCGCCCCUCCCCGCGCCUGCGGAAGCCGGCCCGGGGCCUCUGCGCGCCGGGGGGCUGCCCCCGGAGCCUGCGCUUCCAACACCCGAGAAAAGGCCCUCAACCAGGGCCCAGGGCGCCGUGAAGUGCGAGAGCCCAGCGACGACUCUCUGGGCCCAGAACGAGCUGCCGGAUUUUGGGGGCAACGUCCUUCUGGCCCCCGCGGCUCCUGCGCUUCAGGUCCCCGCAAAGCCCCAGCCCUCCGAGGUGAUCCAGCCCCCGGAUGAGGGGGCGUCCGGGCCGCAGUCCCAGCAGCCCGGCCCCGGCCCCGGCGUGCAGAGUGGGGCCGGCAUCGGUGCUUCUGAGAACCUGGAGAACCCUCCGCAGCUGGGCGCCGACGAGGCCCUCCCGGCCCAGGCGGGUCCCGCGUACGCCAGUCUGCUGUCCGCCCCGCCCGCCGAGGCUCUGCAGCAUCAGCCGGUCCUGAUCGCCCAGCCCGAUCGCAGCUACAGUCUGGCUCAGCCCAUUAAUUUCUCUGUGUCCUUGUCGGGUCCUCCCGAGAGGCCUCAGCCCUGGAGGGACCCUGUGGCGGGAGACAAGCCCACAGCCGGCAGCCGGGCUCUGGGGGGCGAUCCUGGAGAGCGGGCUCCUCCGUCUGGGGCGCCAGCCGGCACGCUUGUCUGCUCGCCCCUGCCUAACCAGCUCGCCCAGAGUCACUUCCCACAGGGGCCUGGUGCCUCCGAAGCAGCGUCUCACCAGCCCGCUCACUUGCUGGUUCAGCCACUGUCUCAUCCGUUUCCAAAGAACACGCUUCCAGAAAGUCCCAAGGUUCCUCCUGCGGAGACCCUCCUGCCCGAGGCAGCGGACGGUCCCGCCGGCAGCACCGGCGUGAUGUUGGUGCCGCCUGCAGACAGCGCCUCGGUGUCCGAGAGUCACAAGGCGGGCCCCGCCGGUGGCCGGGGGAGCGCUCCAGGGGCCCUCGACUCUCCCCUGAGUCGGCCUCUGGACGCCCCCCUGGGCGCGUACAGCCCCGCCCAGCCCGAUGGCCCUGCUUCUUGUCAGCAAAGUGGCGCCGGUCAUCCCAGGCCGCCCGGGCCGGGGCCACGCAGCCCAGACCACUUCUACCAGCAGGUGACCUCGGACGCCCCCUCACAGCCUCCAAAUCCAGGGAGCCCGCCGGCGCUUGGGCAGCCCCCAAACCCAGCCCGGCCACCUGCGAGUCCGGCUCCGGCCGACGUGGGCCCGCAGCCGCCGCCGCCCCGGCCGCCUCGCUCCUCCAGCGCAUCCGUCGUGUCCAGCAGCUCGAGCCAGGCGGCUGCCCGCUCAGACCCGCAGUGGCUGCCGCCUCCGCCCCCAGACUUGACGUCGCACUACUACUUCCGGUCGCUGUACGAGGGCUUCCCGCCCCCGUACGCCUGCCCCUACCCGCUGGAUCCUGGCGCAGCCCCCCACUACCAGCAGGACCUCUACAGCCUCUACGAUCCCCGGUACAGGGCCUACGACAGCGCUGCCUACGCCGAGAGCUACCGCUACCCCGAGCCCGAGCGGCCCAGCUCCCGGGCCAGCCACUGCUCCGACCGGCCAGCUGCCAGGCAGGGGUAUCCUGAAGGCUACUAUCAUUCCAGAGGCGGCUGGAGCAGUCAGAGCGACUACUACGCAAACUAUUACUCGAGCCAGUACGACUACGGAGACCCAGGCCGCUGGGAUCGGUACCACUACGGCCCCCGAGUCCGGGAUCCCCGCACCUACGACCGGAGGUAUUGGUACGAAGCCGAGUACGAGGCCUACAGGAGAGAAAACCAUGCUUAUGGUGACAGGCCCGAGAAGUACGACGACCAGUGGAGGUACGACCCCCGCUUUGCCGGCAGCUUCGACGACGAGCCCGAGCCGCCCCGGGACCCGUACGGGGAGGAGGCGGACCGGCGCAGCGCGCACAGCGAGCCCUCGGCGCCCAGCCUGCGCAGCCGCCGCAGCAGCUUCAGCUCCCACUCCCACCAGAGCCAGGUCUACAGGGCCCACGACGCGGCCACUGGGCCCUACGAGGCGCCGCCUCCGCCCGGCUCCUUCCACGGCGACUACGCCUACGGCACCUACAGCGGCCCGGGCUUCCCCGAGUUCGGCUACGCCGCCGACGCCACCUGGCCCUCGGUGGAAGCAGCUCCGUCGAGACCAACUUCCCCUGAGAAGUUCUCGGUGCCGCAUGUCUGUGCCAGGUUUGGUCCUGGGGGCCAGCUUCUUAAAGUGAUUCCAAACCUGCCUUCAGAAGGCCAGCCUGCCCUGGUCGAAGUUCACAGCAUGGAGAUCCUGCUGCAGCACACGCCGGAGCAGGAGGAGAUGCGGGCUUUCCCGGGACCUCUCGGCAAAGAUGACACCCAUAAAGUGGAUGUUAUUAAUUUUGCACAGAACAAAGCUACAAAAUGUUUGCAGAAUGAACAUUUAAUUGACAAAGAGUCUGCAAGUCUCCUUUGGAGUUUCAUUGUCCUGUUAUGCAGGCAGAACGGGACGGUGGUGGGCACAGACGUCGCGGAACUGUUGUUACGCGACCACAGGACCGUGUGGCUUCCUGGGAAGUCGCCCGAUGAGGCCAACCUGAUUGAUUUCACCAACGAGGCCGUGGAGCAGGUGGAGGAGGAGGAGUCCGGGGAGGCCCAGCUCUCAUUUCUCACAGACAGUCAGGCCGCCAGCAGCCUGGAGAAGGAGACGGAGAGGUUCAGGGAGCUGCUCCUCUACGGCCGGAAGAAGGAUGCCUUAGAGUCCGCGAUGAAGAGCGGCUUGUGGGGUCACGCCCUGCUGCUGGCCAGUAAGAUGGACAGCCGGACACACGCCCGAGUCAUGACCAGGUUCGCCAACAGCCUCCCGAUCAACGACCCCCUGCAGACGGUCUACCAGCUGAUGUCAGGGCGGAUGCCGGCCGCGUCCACGUGCUGCGGAGAUGAGAAGUGGGGGGAUUGGAGGCCCCAUCUGGCCAUGGUGCUGUCCAACCUGAACAACAACGUGGACGUGGAGUCCAGGACGAUGGCCACCAUGGGUGACACGCUGGCCUCCAAGGGUCUCCUGGACGCCGCCCACUUUUGCUACCUCAUGGCCCAGGUUGGAUUUGGGGUCUAUACCAAGAAAACCACAAAACUUGUCUUAAUCGGAUCCAACCACAGUUUGCCGUUUUUCAAGUUUGCGACCAACGAAGCCAUUCAGAGGACAGAGGCCUACGAGUACGCCCAGUCCCUGGGGACACAGGCCUGCUCCUUACCCAGCUUCCAGGUGUUCAAGUUCAUCUACUCCUGCCGCCUGGCCGAGAUGGGGCUGGCCACGCAGGCCUUCCAUUACUGCGAGCUGAUCGCCAAGAGCAUCCUGGCGCAGCCCCACGGACACUCCCCGGUGCUGGUCAGCCAGCUGGUCCAGGUCGCCUCCCAGCUGCGCCUCUUUGACCCUCAGCUGAAAGAGAAGCCAGAGGAGGAGGCGCUGGCGGAACCCGCCUGGCUGGUGCGGCUGCAGCGCUUGGAGAAGCAGGCCAAGGAGGGCACCGUGGCCUGGAGUCAGGACGGGGCCUUCCCGCAGUGCGGUCCCAGCUCACCCAGCUCCGAGGCGGGGCCCUGCGAUGGUCCAGCAGUCGCCCAGCCAGCAGAUCUGGGCACUGCCAACCCUCUGCUGGCACCCCCUGUGCCCGGUGCGGAGCACUUAAGCCAGGACGUGCGGCUGAUGCCCUCCGCUCCGCUGUUGCUCCCCGAGGGCCCGCUGGCUGUCCCCGCCAAGGGGCCAGUGUUCCCGGUGCCGCCUGCCCUGGGCCCUGCUGAGCUGGGGCCUGGCUGCGGGCCCUCGGGCUGUGCACUGGGCUUUCCAGAGCCCCCGGGACCUGACCCUGCAGCUCUGUACCCAGGGCCCGGCCAGCCGCCUGCCGCACCGUCUCUCCAGGAGGCCCGCAGCCAGGACCCAGGAGGGACGCCGCAGGGGGCGCCCGGGAGAAGCGCGUUUCCAGAGCUGGAAGAGGAUUCCGGUGGGACGUUCGCUGCCGUGGGCUCCCCGAGGAUGUCGCGGGAUUCCGGGGUGUCUCCAGGCUGGGGGAGUGCCAGCGCGGGUGCCCUGCAGCCACCUCCGCCUGUGACCUCCACGCCCGAAGUGAAGAGAGCUGGCCCGGCGGCCAAGGAGCCCAGGGAGCCUAAGAAGAGCGGCGAGUCCUGGUUCUCCCGCUGGCUGCCGGUGAAGAAGAGGACGGAGGCGUACUUGCCCGACGACAAAAACAAGUCGAUCGUCUGGGAUGAGAAGAGGAACCGGUGGGUGGAUGUCAACGAGCCGGAGGAGGAGAAGAAGCCUCCGCCCCCGCCUCCCACGGCGCUUCCCAAGGCUGCGCAGGCCGCCCACACCGCUCCCGGAGGGCCCCCCAGGGCCUCUGUGAACGUGUUCUCUAGAAAAGCAGCCGGAACCCGAGCGCGCUACGUGGACGUCCUGAACCCCGGGGGGCCCCAGCGGAGCGAGCCGGCCCUGGCUCCCGCCGAGCUCUUCGCUCCUCUCGCCCCGCUCCCGAUGCCCGCGCACCUGUUGGGACCAAACCCAGACACAGAGGAGGCGCCGCCUGCAGAGGGGACCAGCAGGGAAGGGCCGUUGCCAGCGGGGGCCCCCGCCACCCCAGAGCCGGCCUCGGAACCCAAGGUGAGCGGGCGGCAGCCGGAGGGAGGCCACGGCACGGGUCUGCCUCCCUCACCCAAGCGUCCGCCCAGCCCUGCGCGCGUGCAGAUCCGCGUUCACGUGUGCGCGGAGCGCCGCGCCUCCUCCAGAGCGUCGUCCGGGUACCUGUCCACAGCCGGGGCGCGCCGUGGGGUCACGUUGUCUUGCUGGAAGCAGACGGCGGAGGGAGGUGCUCUGCGUGAUCGAGACGUGUUCGUGAAGCGCAGGCGCUCGGAGUCUGGUCUCUGAGGCUGGGGGGACCGGGCUCGGCCCUGGGUCUCCAUUAGUGAAAGCUGCUUCCACGUGGGGACACCUUAACCUCCCCGCGCCUCAGGGUCCUGCUCUGUGCGCGGGAGGAGAGCAGCAGGUGCAGGAUGCCGCGGGGCCCACAGGAGGCCCUCGGAAGGGACGCGCCUUCUGCUGGGGGCCGCGGGACGCACGGCUGCGCCCCCGACUGCAGAACCCUCUCUCCCCGCGGCCUUGGGGGGGCGCACGGGGGAGCAGGCCAUCCACACCCGCGGGAGGCGCCGAGUCCCUGGGCAGCUGCCGGUUGCUGCCUUUCUGAUUCUUCCCGGCAGGUGUUAAGCUCUGCAGCUUUGCUCCCGGGCCCGGCACCCCCACCCUCUGGAGCGGACGGUCCCCAGGGAGGAGAGGCUCCCGGUGACCUCGCCCCUGCAGGGGGCCCCCCCGGGGCAGCAGUGCCCUUCUACAACCCGGCUCAGUUCGCCCACGCCUCGGCCGCCUCGGGAAGUUCACGGACCGGGAGGAUUAGCCAGAGGAAGUACCCGGCACUGAGCUAGGCCCGUCGCUGCUCUGGACUGGCAUCCGGAGCCCUGAGGGGGUGACGGCCCACCAGGAGCUCAGGCCGAUGGCCUGCGACCUCCCGUCUGCCCCCACUGGACGUGGCCGGCAGUCAGAAAUCCCCUCGUGUCUCUUCCCCGCCGGUCUCUGUGAAGACGGGCAGCGCGCCUUCCUCAGCUUGAAGAUGCUGGAUGAAGAGGGACUCUGGCGUGGGGUCUUUGACCUAAAGGAGUGACACGAGGCCCCAGCCCCUUGGUCGCCUGAAGGUGUUACCACCAGGGACGCCGGAGGCCUCUUGGCCGCGGGGGGCUCUGCUGUUCGGUAACUAAGGCACCUCUCACGACCUAACAGCGAGUUAGUGCCAGGCAACCCCAGGGGCCUUGAAGGGGUUGGAAGGAAACGGUGAAGCUUCGACUCAAGAGAAAGGCAGAUGCCCGCUUGGCGCCCAGAGGCGGUUUGCUCCCUGCCUCACCACUCUUGAGCCUGGAAGCCGCUGUGGGUUAACUCAGCAACAGUUCCGUUGGGUUUUGAGAGAGGCCCUGGCUACCGAAGCCCUUGUCUCCUGUGGCAAAGCCGUGUCCAGCUCUGCCUAGUCUCGUGAGGGCUCCCGCACCCGGAGGACGGGGCCUGCCGUCCAAGGCGGUGGUGCCAGUGCGGAAGAGGGCCCCGGAGUCUUGACCCACACUGACCCGUCAGCCGACGGCACAGCCGUGGCGUGUGGGUUGGGUUGGCCUUCCGAGUAGUGAGCUGCGGGUCGACCCGCUCUCUGCAGACGGGCCCUGCCGAGUUUCCUCCGGGCUGGUUUCCGCAGUACCAGCCAGUGGGCUUCCUCCCGCCCGGGUACCUCGCCGAAGGAGUGGGCAACAGCGCCAAGAAAGCGGCUAAAAGGACCUCUCUUCGGAACCUCUGGCAUCUGGUGUCUCUGCCCUUCGUUCUUCGCACACUGAGACCUUCCGUGGCUGACGUGCCGGCUCAGCCCCGUGAAACCGCGAGGAAGACUCCCAGGGACUCCACGCUUCCCGGCUUCACCGACUGUUCUCAAGACUCUUCACAUUCACAUUAAGCCUAAAGGGACUGAGAAGGAUUUACGUAUUUAUACGAAUCAUUAGGAAGUAGUCUCUCGACCGCGGGGGAUGCAGCUGGUCGGUAUUUUAAUCCACGUGGGCUCCUGUGCACCUGGGGUCUGCACAAGCCCUUCGGGUUCGCUUGAUCCCGAGGAAAGACCCACAACGGUUUCCAGAAUGUUUCACGGGGUGUCCCCUUGGGAGAGGCCGACCUGUAGACGGGCCGUCGGGAGUCGCAGUCUCCUGUCCGCUGCGAUUCCUGGGACCCGAGACCCGCCUGGCGCUGUUGGCUUCCUGGGCAGCCCACCCAUUGUUCUCCGUGUUGACUGCCAGCGACUUUUGAUUCAAGACGCUUCCUCCUAGGCGGGAGCUGCUAUUUUUCCUAAAUGCAAAUUGUUAAAUAAAAUAUUUUGCGCUCUCAA